rnacentral:rRNA from 1 species
CUCAAAAACUUAGUCUCAGUUCGGAUNUAGGCUGAAACUCGCCUACAUGAAGCUGGAGUUGCUAGUAAUCGCGAAUCAGCAUGUCGCGGUGAAUACGUUCCCGGGCCUUGUACACACCGCCCGUCACACCAUGAGAGUUGGCAAUACCCAACGUACGUGAUCUAACCCGCAAGGGAGGAAGCGUCCUAAGGUAGGGUCAGCGAUUGGGGUGAAGUCGUAACAAGGUAAC